UACGGAGGGGGCUAGCGUUGUUCGGAAUUACUGGGCGUAAAGCGCGCGUAGGCGGACCGUUAAGUCGGGGGUGAAAUCCCGGGGCUCAACCCCGGAACGGCCUUCGAUACUGGCGGUCUGGAGGUCGAGAGAGGUGGGUGGAAUUCCGAGUGUAGAGGUGAAAUUCGUAGAUAUUCGGAGGAACACCGGUGGCGAAGGCGGCCCACUGGCUCGAUUCUGACGCUGAGGCGCGAAAGCGUGGGGAGCAAACAGG
rnacentral:rRNA from 1 species